CUGCUGCCUUCCGUAGGAGUUUGGUCCGUGUCUCAGUACCAGUGUGGGGGACCUUCCUCUCAGAACCCCUACGCAUCGUCGGUUAGGUGGCCGUUACCCCGCCUACUGCCUAAUGCGCCGCAUGCCCAUCCCUGUCCGGCCGAAGCCUUUCCUGCCUCCGGGAUGCCCCGGUGGCAUGUACGCGGGUUUAGCCCGCCUUUCGGCGGGUUGUCCCCCUGACAGGGGCAGGUUGCAUACGUGUUACUCACCCGUGCGCCGGUCGCCGGCGGAGAAAG
rnacentral:rRNA from 1 species